GUCUAGAUAGCUCAGAGGUUAGAGCGAAGGACUGAAAAUCCUUAGGUCAAUGGUUCAAAUCCAUUUCUGGACA
rnacentral:tRNA from 1 species